GGGGAAUUUUCCGCAAUGGGCGAAAGCCUGACGGAGCAACGCCGCGUGAGGGAAGAAGGCCUCUGGGCUGUAAACCUCUUUUCUCAAGGAAGAAGAUCUGACGGUACUUGAGGAAUAAGCCACGGCUAAUUCCGUGCCAGCAGCCGCGGUAAUACGGGAGUGGCAAGCGUUAUCCGGAAUUAUUGGGCGUAAAGCGUCCGCAGGCGGCCUUUCAAGUCUGCUGUUAAAGCGUGGAGCUUAACUCCAUUAAGGCAAUGGAAACUGUUGGGCUUGAGUGUGGUAGGGGCAGAGGGAAUUCCCGGUGUAGCGGUGAAAUGCGUAGAUAUCGGGAAGAACACCAGUGGCGAAGGCGCUCUGCUGGGCCAUAACUGACGCUCAUGGACGAAAGCCAGGGGAGCGAAAGGGAUUAGAUACCCCUGUAGUC
rnacentral:rRNA from 1 species